AUUGAACGCUGGCGGAAUGCUUUACACAUGCAAGUCGAACGGCAGCACGGACUUCGGUCUGGUGGCGAUUGGCGAACGGGUGAGUAAUACAUGUGAACGUGCCCGUUCGUGGGGGAUAACGUAGCGAAAGCUACGCUAUUACAGCAUACGAUCUAAGGUUGAGAGCGGGGGAUCGCAAGACCUCGCGCGAUUGGAGCGGCCGAUGGCAGAUUAGGUAGUUGGUAGGGUAACGGCCUACCAAGCCGACGAUCUGUAGCUGGUCUGAGAGGAUGAUCAGCCACACUGGGACUGAGACACGGCCCAGACUCCUACGGGAGGCAGCAGUGGGGAAUUUUGGACAAUGGGCGCAAGCCUGAUCCAGCCAUUCCGCGUGCAGGAUGAAGGCCUUCGGGUUGUAAACUGCUUUUGUACAGAACGAAAAGGCUCUGGUUAAUACCCGGGGCUCAUGACGGUACUGUAAGAAUAAGCACCGGCUAACUACGUGCCAGCCGCCGCGGUAAUAC
rnacentral:rRNA from 1 species